ACUCUCUCUCUAUAUAUAUAUAUGU
rnacentral:misc_RNA from 1 species